rnacentral:tRNA from 1 species
GGGCUCAAGUCCCUCUAUCCCCAAAA